rnacentral:tmRNA from 1 species
GGGGGCGUAAGGAUUCGACGGGGGUUAUGGAGAUAGGAACGGCAGGUCCAGGACCAUGUCCUGGUAAAAACAUGGAACGGCUAUAAACGCCAACGAUAAUUUAGCCUACGCUGCUUAAUUAAAAGCAGUGCGUCCCUCCCCUCCCUGGCCGGGGGUGGGAACAGGGGCGUCAAGAAACCGGCCUACCGCGGAAGCGGCUGCUUCACCGCCGCCGGGGGAAACUUAACGAAGCUGGCCCUGAAAGGAUCGCGCUCUAAGGACCCUGCAGGGCGAGAAACAAGCUUAGAGCUAAACCUGUAGAAGUUUCUAUAGCCGGGCUUUCGGACGCGGGUUCGAUUCCCGCCGCCUCCACCA